AAUGAAUGAGGACAAAAUGUUUCGGUCCCAUAUGAUGCAUACUGAUCAUACCGUUAGAUUUAUCCUGACGUU